AGAGUUUGAUUCUAGCUCAGGAUGAACGCUGGCGGCGUGGAUAGGGCAUGCAAGUCGUGCGGAUCUUGUGCUUUGCACAAGGUUAGCGGCAAACGAGUUAGUAACACGUAGGUACUUACCCCCGAGACGAGGAUAACUCAUCGAAAGAUGAGCUAAUACCCGAUUGUCCCUGAGGCCGUAAGGCCGAAGGGUAAAGAAGCAAUUCGCUUGGGGAGAGGCCUGCGGCCUAUCAGCUAGUUGGUGAGGUAAUGGCUUACCAAGGCUAUGACGGGUAGGGGGUGUGAGAGCACGACCCCCAACGAUGGUACUGAGACACGGACCUUACACCUACGGGUGGCCGCAGUCGAGAAUAUUCCACAAUGGGCGAAAGCCUGAUGGAGCGACGCCGCGUGCGGGAUGAAGGCCUUCGGGUCGUAAACCGCUUUUGUAGGGGAAGAAUCCCGAGAGCAAUCGAGGGAUGACUGUACCCUAAGAAUAAGGGGGGACUAACUCUGUGCCAGCAGUAGCGGUAAAACAGAGCCCCCAAGCGUUAUCCGGAUUUAUUGGGCGUAAAGUGUCCGUAGCCGGUCUGGAAAGUCUUAGGUUAAAUACCAAGAGCUCAACUUUUGGGAUGCCUGGGAAACUUCUAGACUCGAGGGUGUUAAGGGUUGAUGGAACUCUUGGUGGAGGGGUGAAAUCCGUUGAUAUCAAGAGGAACACCAAAAGCGAAAGCAUUCAACUAGGGCAACCCUGACGGUGAGGGACGAAAGCGUGGGGAGCAAAAAGGAUUAGAUACCCUUGUAGUCCACGCUGUAAACUUUGAAUACUAGCUAUGUGAAGUGUCGACCCUUCACGUGGCGAAGCUAACGCGUUAAGUAUUCCGCCUGGGAAGUACGGUCGCAAGACUAAAACUCAAAGAAAUAGACGGGGAUCCACACAAGCGGUGGAUCAUGUGGCUUAAUUCGUCAACAAACGAGGAACCUUACCAGGGCUUGACAGGCUAGUGAACGUCUGAUGAAAGUUAGACCUACCCACAAGGACACUAGCCCAGGUGCUGCACGGCUGUCGUCAGCAUGUAUCUUGAGACGCUCCGUUAAAUCGGGUAACAUGCGCAACCCUUAUUCUGUGUUUUACGUGUCACAGAAAACUGCCUGAGACAAUCAGGAGGAAGGCGAGGAUGACGCCAAGUCAGCGUGGCCCUUUGAUGUCCUGGGCCGCACACAUGAUACAAUGGGGCCGACAACGGGAUGCAAUGCCGUAAGGCGGAGCUAAUCCCUUAAACGGUCUCUCAAUUCGGAUUGAGGUCUGCAACUCGACCUCAUGAAGCCGGAAUCGCUAGUAAUCGCCAAUCAGCUAUGUGGCGAUGAAUAUGUUCCUGGAUCUUGUACUCACCGCCCGUCACGUUAAGCGAGCCGGGAAUACCCGAAGUGCCAGGUUUACUUGGUCCUAAGGUAAGCUCGGUAAGAGGAACGAAGUCGUAACAAGGCACGGGUAGCGGAAGCUGUCCGUG
rnacentral:rRNA from 1 species